rnacentral:rRNA from 1 species
AAAAGAAACCAACAGGGAUUGCCUUAGUAGCGGCGAGUGAAGCGGCAAAAGCUCAAAUUUGAAAUCUGGCACUUUCAGUGUCCGAGUUGUAAUUUGAAGAAGGUAUCUUUGGGUCUGGCUCUUGUCUAUGUUUCUUGGAACAGAACGUCACAGAGGGUGAGAAUCCCGUGCGAUGAGAUGACCCAGACCUAUGUAAAGUUCCUUCGAAGAGUCGAGUUGUUUGGGAAUGCAGCUCUAAGUGGGUGGUAAAUUCCAUCUAAAGCUAAAUAUUGGCGAGAGACCGAUAGCGAACAAGUACAGUGAUGGAAAGAUGAAAAGAACUUUGAAAAGAGAGUGAAAAAGUACGUGAAAUUGUUGAAAGGGAAGGGCUUGAGAUCAGACUUGGUAUUUUGUAUGUUACUCUUUCGGGGGUGGCCUCUACAGUUUACCGGGCCAGCAUCAGUUUGGGCGGUAGGAGAAUUGCAAAGAAAUGUGGCACUGCCUCGGUAGUGUGUUAUAGUCUUUGUCGAUACUGCCAGCCUAGACUGAGGACUGCGGCUUCGGCCUAGGAUGUUGGCAUAAUGAUCUUAAGUCGCCCGU